rnacentral:rRNA from 1 species
GACGAACGCUGGCGGCGUGCUUAGCACAUGCAAGUCGAACGAAGAGCGACGGAAGCUUGCUUCUAUCAAUCUUAGUGGCGAACGGGUGAGUAACGCGUAAUCAACCUGCCCUUCAGAGGGGGACAACAGUUGGAAACGACUGCUAAUACCGCAUACGAUCUAAUCUCGGCAUCGAGGAUGGAUGAAAGGUGGCCUCUACAUGUAAGCUAUCACUGAAGGAGGGGAUUGCGUCUGAUUAGCUAGUUGGAGGGGUAACGGCCCACCAAGGCGAUGAUCAGUAGCCGGUCUGAGAGGAUGAACGGCCACAUUGGGACUGAGACACGGCCCAGACUCCUACGGGAGGCAGCAGUGGGGAAUCUUCCGCAAUGGACGAAAGUCUGACGGAGCAACGCCGCGUGAGUGAUGACGGCCUUCGGGUUGUAAAGCUCUGUUAAUCGGGACGAAAGGCCUUCUUGCGAAUAGUGAGAAGGAUUGACGGUACCGGAAGAGAAAGCCACGGCUAACUACGUG